UGUUCCCAGUACUACCUCCAUGAUCCCACACUCCUAAUCAUAUGAGCUAAAAUGUUGCACAUUCAUUCUUUGAGAGAUAUAAAGAAAAAGACAUAUACAUAGAUAAAUUAUCUUUCUAUAAGGUUGAGCAACCUGAUCUGACAAAUGUUUUAAAUGCUACACUCAUGAUCUUAUUAUCCAUCAACUUUGUCUUGCUCACUAUGCUUAAGGUUAGAGAAGAACAAAUACACUUUUGGUUCUGUUGGUGUUUUCCACCAAUAGGGCCCAUGCACUUGAUCUCUACCUUGUCUCUAUGAGCAGGUACACUUGGAGCAAAACAUGGUGGAGUUUUACAACUCCCAGAUUCUACCAAGUGAAGGACCUGGAUCUACGAGCACAAACACACUCAGCAGGAUGCUGCCAACGCUGCACUUCGAACUGCUGGGCAAACGAAGAAUAUGGGUGACACCGUAUCAAGAGGUGCAGACGUCAAGGUCCGCACCUGAAUCAAAUGACGCACCUGAAGAAUGAACACGGUGAGAAGUCUUGUUCAGAAGACUUAAAACAUUGAACCCUCGCCGAAAGGUAAAAUCGGUAGUUAUCCUUAUUUAUCCUUUCUGCACUCCCUUUUCCCUUAAAUUAUUUUCCUUAAAUGGCUUGUUAGUUAUUCAUGCUAUCUUGAAAAGAGAAUAAAAAUGUUAAAAAUAGUAAGCCCCAUGUGAGUAUGCUUGUGGCAUAAAACCCAUAAGUAGAUUCACUGUUGGUGGCGUAAAAAUAAAAUAAAUAUAUUCCUGCCCUACAAAAAUGAAAAUAUAAAAAUAAAUUUAUGAUCCUACCAAAGAGAGUAAUAUUUAUUAGAGGAAGCUCAACAUGAUAAUGGCUAAGAGAUUUUAUGCUAACACUUAACUAGUUCCACAAAGCUUUGUUGUCUAUUUGAGCUCCAUAGAAUUCAAGGAUCAAAGAAGACUAGCAGACGAAGGACAUCCUAAUUGCUGUCAGGGUGCUGCCGACAUUCAAAUACACCUCUGCCACCUGCUAGCUACAUCAGAAGAAUUUACGUCGAAAUCCAGCCUGGGGGAGAGUACCCCCAUUUAUCCAGCUAAGUGUUUCUACUCGCGUUUAUACUUUACUCAAAUAAUAAAAAAGAUGCAUAAUCAUAUAAAAACCCAAAUAAAGAUUUUGUGCUUAUAUAUAUCUUUGCUUAGUUUGCUAAAUAAAUAAAUAAAUAAAGUUUGCUAUGAACCCUAAUGAUUGGCUCUCACAUGUAAAUGAUGAAUAGUUGCUCUACCAUGACUAGUUCUCAAAAUUGAAAUCUCUCUCAAGUUUAGGUAUGACUGUUAUGAAUUAAGAUUUGCUCUAAACCUGAACUUGUGGGAAGAGUACAUCAUCUAAAGUCUAAGUCGUUAACGGAUAUGAUAUGGGAAGGUUGAGCUGCUGUUUAUCUGUUCCUAGAGAUGCUAGAAUUCUGGAGAAUUUUAUCUUUGAAAAUCUUUAAAAUGUUGCAUGAUGAGUUCCUGUAUGAUGAGAGUUUAAAAUCCUACCACAACCAUAUAUACAUGCUUAUUAGACUAUGAACCAUACAUUUACUUUUUACUACUUAUGAGCAUUGAGUGUGGUCAAGCUGUGUAGACCCUUAGGAGCUUGUCUUGUGGUUAAAAUCAAGAUCCACUUGCACGUUCACUCAUACAUGUUGCUUCUACUCCGGAAGUACGCAUCCACAUACAUCCAUUUAUUUCCAUCUCCAGAUUCACCCAAAAUUAUUCUACUCCUAUCUAGGAGAGAAUAGCCAAAAACAUUAUCCUAUCCCUGUUAUUCCCUGUGAAAUAAAUGCUCUUGAUAUUUUGGUUACUACCACUUGCUACAUUAUUUUGGUUACUACCACUUGCUACAUUAUUCUAAGAGUGAAUACGAGGAAAUAAAAAGGGGCAAGUGCCCGAAACCUCGAAGAAAAGAAAAAGUGAGACGAGAGGUAGAAAUGGACAAGUGUCCGGCAGUGGAAUUAGGGGUACAAGGUACCCACCUGAGAGAAAAGAAAAAAAAGAAAAUAUAGAGCAUCUCAUUCCCUUCAAAAAGCUUCAAAGUGCAAGAAAGGUAUGUAUCCCCUCAAAAGAGCAAAAGUAGAAUUAGACUUUCACCAAUGUUUUCACCAUUAUCACCAUCAUCAUCAUACACCAUUCAUUCGCUACACAUGCACAUCAUGAUUUAACUUAUUGACUUGUUUCUCUGGAUCCAUGGUUUGACUAUGCAAUAAAUGUCUUGUAAGUAUGUAUUAGCUGUCUCCCACCUAUGAGCUCCAGAUAUCAAACCUUAUUAGAGUAGGGUGAGAGAGAAGGCAAUAUCACUAUGCCUCAUACCACAAAUACUAAAUACUUUGAGAGGAGGCGUAUAUCAUCACUGCCUUGGUAAGGAUCUAGAAAUACCACAAAAGAGAGAAUUGAGAGAGUCAUACAAGGAAUCUCUGAGUUUUAUUUGAAAAUCUACAAAAACUCCAGAGCUAUAGUUGAUCAAAGAACAAGAGACUAGCGCUUGACUUGACCGUUCUAUCUUUUAACUGCUCAAGACACAAGUGACGGUUGCAAGCCCCAUGGUGGAAGGUAAUAUGAGUAGGUUUAAAUCUUAACAGUUUACUUUAACUCAGAGAUGAGAUCUUGCUUGAACACAUGUAUACUUUUACGGCAUGAAACCACUUCAAAAAACUCUUGAGUCCAUCCUUGCUCAGGAACGAGCAAGAGGUAAGCUUGGGGGAGUUGUUGACGGUCCUUAAGUACCAAAUAUAAUCAUCAAAUAAAAAAAGAAAAGGAUCUAAAUGCAACCAACACCCAGACUUAGGUUUUAUCUGACAGAAUUCCAUGAGUUUUGGUGUUUGUCUAUUUCUGCAGGGGGUUAUCAGGAAAUAUGGAGAAAAGGCCCACACGUCGCGUUUACAUAGAGAUAUUAACGUGCCGCGCAGUUUUCUAUCAUCUAGAAGACUCCAGAAGCCACGAGAACGAACGGGAAGCUGAGCGAGCUCGGGGGCAGGGCGCCCGCCCUCCCCCCUUGGGCGCCCGCCCAGCUACAGGAACCAAUCAGAUUUCGUCUCGCGGAUUAUGCUCCACCGACCUAAAGGAUCAACGAAAACCGUGCGAUCAAUGUCGGUUUGAUCCGACGGCCCAGAUUCACUUGAGGGGACUAUAUAAGCAGACCCCCUGGCCCCUGGAGGAGGCACCCCCUUGAUCCCUAUUCAUUAUUCAU
rnacentral:lncRNA from 1 species